AUUGAACGCUGGCGGCAGGCCUAACACAUGCAAGUCGAGCGGAUGAAGGGAGCUUGCUCCUGGAUUCAGCGGCGGACGGGUGAGUAAUGCCUAGGAAUCUGCCUGGUAGUGGGGGAUAACGUCCGGAAACGGGCGCUAAUACCGCAUACGUCCUGAGGGAGAAAGUGGGGGAGCUUCGGACCUCACGCUAUCAGAUGAGCCUAGGUCGGAUUAGCUAGUUGGUGGGGUAAAGGCCUACCAAGGCGACGAUCCGUAACUGGGCUGAGAGGAUGAUCAGUCCACCGUAACUUGACCACGGUCCCGGCCCCACCCGGAGGGGAGGGGGGGGAAAUUUUGGGUGAGGGGGGAAAGCCUGUCCCAGCCAGCCCGGGGGGGUGAAGGAGGUCUUCGGUUUGUAAAGCAUUUUACUUUGGGAGGAGGGGAAGGAAAUUAACCCCUCGCUUUUUGCCCGUUACCAACAAAAAAGGCCCCGCCAACUUCGUU
rnacentral:rRNA from 1 species